rnacentral:rRNA from 1 species
AGCCGCCGCGGGAACACCGGCGGCCCGAGUGGUGAUCGUGAUUAUUGGGUCUAAAGGGUCCGUAGCCGGUUUGGUCAGUCCUCCGGGAAAUCUGAUAGCUCAACUAUUAGGCUUUCGGGGGAUACUGCCAGACUUGGAACCGGGAGAGGUAAGAGGUACUACAGGGGUAGGAGUGAAAUCUUGUAAUCCCUGUGGGACCACCUGUGGCGAAGGCGUCUUACCAGAACGGGUUCGACGGUGAGGGACGAAAGCUGGGGGCACGAACCGGAUUAGAUACCCGGGUAGUCCCAGCCGUAAACGAUGCUCGCUAGGUGUCAGGCAUGGCGCGACCGUGUCUGGUGCCGCAGGGAAGCCGUGAAGCGAGCCACCUGGGAAGUACGGCCGCAAGGCUGAAACUUAAAGGAAUUGGCGGGGGAGCACAACAACGGGUGGAAGCCUGCGGUUUAAUUGGACUCAACGCCGGACAACUCACCGGGGGCGACAGCAAUAUGUAGGCCAAGCUGAAGACUUUGCCUGAAUCGCUGAGAAGUGGUGCAUGG